CAUUUAACUAAGUUUCAGUUAGACGUGCUUUGUUUGGAUUAAAUGGCGUCUUCUGUGAAAAGUAGAAAUACUCAGUUGCAAUCUACUAUAAAUUGAUGUUAUCUUUUUAGAAAUAUGGACAAUUUCCCCACACAUUGUGACUCUAGAUUGUGUGAAAAAACUUGCAGAAGCCUUAGAAAAGAAUCAGUGUUUUGAUACAGGACAUUCAAAAGGUGGAACUAGACUCGAUAUUUUUGAAGACAUUAAGAAAAAAAAAUGACGAUGAAUAAAGAAUCCAGAGCUACUUUGAUAACAUGGCUUGUAAAUUUUGCCGGAAGUU
rnacentral:lncRNA from 1 species